CGGGAAGCGCGCGCGCGGGCUGUAGGGACCCGGCGAGGGUGAGCUGGAGGCGCCGCACUGCUGCUUCGGCAACCGCGUCUCUAAACCGUAACCUGAGGACGUUCACUCCUCACAUUACACUAGGAUGAAAACUGAAAUUCAAGCCAUAUUCUGAUCAACUCUUGAAAUUUUUGCACUGACAACAAAGUCUCACAAAUAAAGUCAAUUUGUCAUGGCCUGGGAUCAUCAGAAGAGAGAAUCAGACAGGU